GACGAACGCUGGCGGCGUGCUUAACACAUGCCAGUCGAACGCUAAGGCCCUGCUCUUGUAGCGUGCUCGAGUGGCGAACAGGUGAGUGUCACGUGAGUAGCCUGUCCUUGACUUUGGGGUACCUUCAGUGAACUGGAGCGCAUACCGCAUAUGAACACUUUAUGCAUGGUGGGGGUGGUUAAGUUUCGGCGGUUGGGGAUGGAAACGCGGCCUAUCGGCUUGUUGGUGGGGUAGUGGCUUACCAAGGCGUUGACGGGUAGCCGGCCUGGGAGGGUGACCGGCCACAUUGGGACUGAGAAAGCGGCCAGACUGCUACGGCAGGCAGCAGUGGGAAUUAGUGCAAACAGGGCGGAAGCCGGAUGCAGCAACGCCGGGUGCGGGAUGUCGGUCGGCGGGUUGGAACCCGCGUGCGCCUGGGACGAAGCGCGAGUGACGGUAAUGGGUAAAGAAGCAACGGCUAACUACGUG
rnacentral:rRNA from 1 species